rnacentral:rRNA from 1 species
GACGAACGCUGGCGGCGUGCUUAACACAUGCAAGUCGAACGGAAAGGCCUGCUUUCCCUUGUGGAUUGCGGGUACUCGAGUGGCGAACGGGUGAGUAACACGUGAGUGAUCUGCCCCCAACUUGGGUAUAAGCCUGGGAAACUGGGUCUAAUUCCCGAUAGGACUGCAGGGUGGUGCCUGUGGUGGAAAACGAUUUUCUAGUGGUUGGGGAUGAGCUCGCGGCCUAUCAGCUUGUUGGUGGGGUAAUGGCCUACCAAGGCGGCGACGGGUAGCCGGCCUGAGAGGGUGGACGGCCACAUUGGGACUGAGAUACGGCCCAGACUCCUACGGGAGGCAGCAGUGGGGAAUAUUGCACAAUGGGCGGAAGCCUGAUACAGCGACGCCGCGUGGGGGAUGACGGCCUUCGGGUUGUAAACUCCUUUCGACCGCGAGGAAGCCACCUGGUUGGAAGGGUGGUGACGGUAGUGGUAGAAGAAGCACCGGCUAACCACGUG